rnacentral:rRNA from 1 species
CUUACCACAUGCAAGUCGAGCGGGGAAGAGUAGCUUGCUACUUAACCUAGCGGCGGACGGGUGAGUAAUGCUUAGGAAUCUGCCUAUUAGUGGGGGACAACAUCUCGAAAGGGAUGCUAAUACCGCAUACGUCCUACGGGAGAAAGCAGGGGACCUUCGGGCCUUGCGCUAAUAGAUGAGCCUAAGUCGGAUUAGCUAGUUGGUGGGGUAAAGGCCUACCAAGGCGACGAUCUGUAGCGGGUCUGAGAGGAUGAUCCGCCACACUGGGACUGAGACACGGCCCAGACUCCUACGGGAGGCAGCAGUGGGGAAUAUUGGACAAUGGGGGGAACCCUGAUCCAGCCAUGCCGCGUGUGUGAAGAAGGCCUUUUGGUUGUAAAGCACUUUAAGCGAGGAGGAGGCUACCGAGAUUAAUACUCUUGGAUAGUGGACGUUACUCGCAGAAUAAGCACCGGCUAACUCUGUGCCAGCAGCCGCGGUAAUACAGAGGGUGCAAGCGUUAAUCGGAUUUACUGGGCGUAAAGCGCGCGUAGGUGGCCAAUUAAGUCAAAUGUGAAAUCCCCGAGCUUAACUUGGGAAUUGCAUUCGAUACUGGUUGGCUAGAGUAUGGGAGAGGAUGGUAGAAUUCCAGGUGUANCGGUGAAAUGCGUAAAAAUCUGGAGGAAUACCGAUGGCGAAAGC